CCAUUGAGGAGCAGCGAGGCCAUUAAUGGAGUAGGGAAGGCAAAAGUCACAGCCCGGGCGAAACACUCGGGGCCCCACAGCCCAUGUAAGCAGUCCACUGGUCGGCUGAAAGACUACACAGCUUUGAAUACAGCUUUGAACAGAGCCUCAGAGCACAUGGCACACGUCCAGCGACGCAUUAGCAACAUUGCAGAGAGCUUGAACCACCACCCAACACAAGUAAAUCUUCAUGGCAUCACACAAUAGUUAGCAGCGUGACCUCGUUGUGACACAAAAUGCAAAGUUCAAACCAGACAUGUUAGGAUGUUGCCUCCAUCUGUUUGUGAGUCUCUUGAGAGACACAUGAAUAAAUAAAUGUAACUGCAAAUUA